rnacentral:rRNA from 1 species
AGAGUUUGAUCCUGGCUCAGGACGAACGCUGGCGGCGUGCUUAACACAUGCAAGUCGAGCGAUGAAGCUUCCUUCGGGAAGUGAAUUAGCGGCGGACGGGUGAGUAACACGUGGGUAACCUGCCUCAAAGUGGGGGAUAGCCUUCCGAAAGGAAGAUUAAUACCGCAUAAUAUAAGAGAAUCGCAUGAUUUUCUUAUCAAAGAUUUAUUGCUUUGAGAUGGACCCGCGGCGCAUUAGCUAGUUGGUAAGGUAACGGCUUACCAAGGCAACGAUGCGUAGCCGACCUGAGAGGGUGAUCGGCCACAUUGGAACUGAGACACGGUCCAGACUCCUACGGGAGGCAGCAGUGGGGAAUAUUGCGCAAUGGGGGAAACCCUGACGCAGCAACGCCGCGUGGGUGAUGAAGGUCUUCGGAUUGUAAAGCCCUGUUUUCUAGGACGAUAAUGACGGUACUAGAGGAGGAAGCCACGGCUAACUACGUGCCAGCAGCCGCGGUAAUACGUAGGUGGCGAGCGUUGUCCGGAUUUACUGGGCGUAAAGGGUGCGUAGGCGGAUGUUUAAGUGGGAUGUGAAAUCCCCGGGCUUAACCUGGGGGCUGCAUUCCAAACUGGAUAUCUAGAGUGCAGGAGAGGAAAGCGGAAUUCCUAGUGUAGCGGUGAAAUGCGUAGAGAUUAGGAAGAACACCAGUGGCGAAGGCGGCUUUCUGGACUGUAACUGACGCUGAGGCACGAAAGCGUGGGUAGCAAACAGGAUUAGAUACCCUGGUAGUCCACGCCGUAAACGAUGGAUACUAGGUGUAGGGGGUAUCAACUCCCCCUGUGCCGCAGUUAACACAAUAAGUAUCCCGCCUGGGGAGUACGGUCGCAAG